AGUGAACGCUGGCGGUAGGCCUAACACAUGCAAGUCGAACGGCAGCACAGUAAGAGCUUGCCCUUACGGGUGGCGAGUGGCGGACGGGUGAGGCAUACAUCGGAAACUACUUUUUCGUGGGUGACAACGUAGAGAAACUUAUGCUAAUACCGCAUAUGAUCUACGGGUGAAAGCAGAGGAGCUUGACACUUUUGCCGUCUCUAUUAGCCGAUGCCGGAUUAGCUAGUUGGGGAGGUAAAGGCCCACCAAGGCGACGAUCCGUAGCUGAUCUGAGAGGAUGAUCAGCCACACUGGAACUGAGACACGGUCCAGACUCCUACGGGAGGCAGCAGUAGGGAAUAUUGGACAAUGGGCGAAAGCCUGAUCCAGCCAUGCCGCGUGAGUGAAGAAGGCCUUCGGGUUGUAAAGCCCUUUUGUUAGGAAAGAAAAUCAGCAGGUUAAUACCCCGCUGUUCUGACGGUACCCAAAGAAUAAGCACCGGCUAACUUCGUG
rnacentral:rRNA from 1 species